UACGGAGGGGACUAGCGUUGUUCGGAAUUACUGGGCGUAAAGCGCGCGUAGGCGGAUUUGCAAGUCGGGGGUGAAAGCCCGAGGCUCAACCUCGGAACUGCCCUCGAUACUGCAAAUCUCGAGUCCGAGAGAGGUGAGUGGAAUUCUUAGUGUAGAGGUGAAAUUCGUAGAUAUUAGGAAGAACACCAGUGGCGAAGGCGGCUCACUGGCUCGGUACUGACGCUGAGGCGCGAAAGCGUGGGGAGCAAACAGG
rnacentral:rRNA from 1 species